rnacentral:rRNA from 1 species
GACGAACGCUGGCGGCGUGCUUAACACAUGCAAGUCGAGCGGAAAGGCCCUUCGGGGUACUCGAGCGGCGAACGGGUGAGUAACACGUGAGUAACCUGCCUCAGACUUUGGGAUAACCCUCGGAAACGGGGGCUAAUACCGGAUACGACACAGCUUCGCAUGGGGUCUGUGUGGAAAGUUUUUCGGUUUGGGAUGGGCUCGCGGCCUAUCAGCUUGUUGGUGGGGUGAUGGCCUACCAAGGCGACGACGGGUAGCCGGCCUGAGAGGGCGACCGGCCACACUGGGACUGAGACACGGCCCAGACUCCUACGGGAGGCAGCAGUGGGGAAUAUUGCACAAUGGGCGGAAGCCUGAUGCAGCGACGCCGCGUGAGGGAUGACGGCCUUCGGGUUGUAAACCUCUUUCAGCAGGGACGAAGCGUAAGUGACGGUACCUGCAGAAGAAGCGCCGGCCAACUACGUG